AUUUAAAUUAUAAGUAAUUAGGUAUAAUGUUAUCGGAAUCGAUUUCUUUGAAAAAGAUUUAUUGAAACAUCAAGUAGUUUUUGAACUGCAAUUAAUAAAAAACUAUAUAUGUAGGUCUCUUACAUUCUUAUCUCUUCUAAGCUACAGUUGAAAAAAAGAACCGAGGGAAAAGUAAAUGUGUGAUAAAGCGUCGGUAUAAUGCAUUAUAUGCCCUUUCAAUUAAUGUUCUCCCAGGUGAGACCAUGUAUGAGGUAAAUUCUUAAUCCUUAAGAAUUAUAUUUUAGCGAUAUCAGAACUUUCACUAACAAUAAGUUAAUACAAAUGAUCCUGCGGCGUUUGAGAUUCGAAAGGAUAUCUACUAUAGAACACGUCUAUUCACUAAGAUCUUUCACGAUCUAGCGUCUCGAAUAAUUUAUACUGCAUUCCGAAAUCAUUAUUUCGCACUCUGCAGUUUCAGUAGAAAUACGUCUAAAUCAAUGUACAGUUAACGACGUGCAUCACGUCCGCAUUUAAUAAUUAAUGCUGUUCAUAACAAAUACAAUUAUGUAAUUUGUAUAUAAUAUAUAGGUACGUAUCUUCAAGAGCAAUUUCAGAACGCUAAUUGCUCAUUGCAUUAUCGUCUUACAGUAAGCGAUCUAAUGUACAGCGGCACAACCUCUCGUGCGUAUUGCUAGAAACACCGCGCGGGGACGAGGCAUUGUAAUUUCGUUUAAACAAUUCCGGGUGUAAUGACGAACGCAACAACAUUGCACGUCCUCCGUUCGCAGAUGAUAAUCUCCGCGAAAUACGCUACAAUGAGUUUCUAUCGAUUCCGACAUUCGCGUCGCUUCGUAAAUCACGAAGGCAGGAGUCCUGAUAAGAGAAUAGAGAAAGAAUUGUAAGAAAAUAAAAAUUGAUUAGAGUAACGCGCUACAAGUUGUCUGUUCUCUUGUAGCGAAUCGUGAUAUACGCAAAUGAACGAUGAGAACUCGUUAAAUUCAUCAAUCUUACAAUCUCCGUAUUUACAUGCUUUUUUCUCUAGUAACAAUAAUCCUACUAAAUUAUCCUCUAUAUCCGAUUACUGCAGAUGUAAGAAUCUGCUGAAUUGCAUAUGUUGAACAAACGAAGAAUCAAGUACAACGCCAGAGCGAUCUUCGAUGUCUCUCGGAGCGGCUUGUUAACAUCACUUUCAGUAGCAUCUAGAAGAGACUAGCGAUGAGAGAUAGAGAGAGAGAUAGAGAGAGAGAGAAACAAACGUUACAUUACGUAUUAUUUAUUUCACACACCACUGAGACUUUAAAAAUUACUCCAUUUGAUAAUCGCGAAUUCUUAUCUUUUCAUCUUUUAUUUUUCCGAUCUGUCUAUGCGCGAAUUAACGUUAAAUUGGGACGAGAGCGCGAAGAAAACAAAAAGAGAGACUCGUCGACCUAGAAUAAUUCGCGAUUGUUAGUUAUAACUAUAUAAAAAUUGCAUUAGAUCGCGUUCGUCUCCCCCCCCCCCGUUCGCAGCAUACAUCAUAUCAUGCUAUUCUGCAUGUGAAGUGUCAAAAAGCUCAUGAUUUUUACACGAUGAUAACAUGGAUGUGAAUGGUAUUCGCCCUUUCGCUCAUUGUUCUAGGUCUUCGGAGUAGUCUAGACCGCAGGCUCCGUCAUUUGUACACACGCAGAAAACUCCCAGAUUUUCGCAAAAACAAAAACAAAACGAUUCGGUCGAGUACUGGGCUUCACGUUAGUCACGAAUUUGCACCUAUAAACAACAAAAACACAUAUGUAAAAACUCUCGUUAAUAAAUACGUGAACAGAGCCGUA